rnacentral:rRNA from 1 species
GACGAACCGUGCAACCGUUGUUCGGAAUUACUGGGCGUAAAGAGUGUGUAGGCGGUGCUCUAAGUCUGUCGUGAAAUCUCCCGGCUUAACCGGGAGGCUGCGGCGGAAACUGGUGUGCUAGAGGGUGGGAGAGGUAAGCGGAAUUCCUGGUGUAGCGGUGAAAUGCGUAGAUAUCAGGAGGAACACCUGCGGUGUAGACAGCUUACUGGACCACUUCUGACGCUGAGACACGAAAGCGUGGGUAGCAGACAGG